CAACUCUACUUUCCCCCCCAGUUUACUCUUUAUAUAAGAAGGGUUCUAGGGUUUCGCUUCAAUUCAACUCCGACACCGCCAGAGUACCCUCCCUCUCUCUCUCUCUCUCUCUCUCAUUACUCUAGGGUUCUGAGGGUUCGAGAUCUUCCAUCGAACCUCCAUUGCAAGCCCAACCACAGCUUCUCUAACUCUUCGACGUCGUCAAAGGCCUCCGCUUCCAGAUCCGAGCCUCCCACUAACCCUACUACUACGGUGGGAAAAUUUGGCUAAUUUGGUUGUCCUCUUGGACGUCUGGCCGGUUGAUCUGAACAGUAAAAAUCCUCCCACUCUCCCGCAGGUCCAAGGCAGCGCCCCUUGAGGAGAUCACCAGGG